GGGGAAAAAUUGAAAGGCAUCAUCAUUAUCAACUGAACUUCCAUAUCAGAUAGAUUUUAUACAAUGAUUUACAUGCAUUUGAACUCUUCUGCUCACUCAAGAAACUUCUAUGUUAUGUUAUGCUUCUUUUUCACAAAUAUUCUUUCAUUAUUUAACCAGUUAUUUGUUCAAUUUUUUGUUUUCUUAUUUACUUUAAACUCCUUUGAGAUUGAACAAUAAUCAGAGAUGAUUCUUCACUAAAAAUAUAAGCAUGCAUGCUUGAUUUAUCCUCUAAACAAUCCAUGUUCAUAGAUCAUGUCUCUUAUCUGACACUCAGAAGCAGCUGGUCUAUUUCAUCUGCAAGCAAUACAACAUCCUUGAUAGCUACAAUACGCAAUCAGCAUCUUACAAACUGAUCACAACAUGGUAUGAUAAUUGUCAUAUUGCCAGAAACCACCAACUUCAGAAUGAUUGUCAAAAAAAUAGAUGAGAAAAGUUAUUGGACAUGAAAAUCAGCUCAAAAAAAAUCUCAUAACCCAUUGCCGGAAGUUCUUACAACCUUAAAUCAAAUUGUUAUAUGGGAGCUGCUAUUAAAUGGCUGAGGCCACAAAUCAAUUAAGACAAUUUUUAGCUUCCUAAAAUGCCCCCG
rnacentral:misc_RNA from 1 species